AUACUUACCUCGACGGGAUCAAUGGACGAUCAAAAAGGUCCAUGGCCUAGGCUGGAACCUAAGAUUAUCGUAAGUGAUCGAGCUUACAUCAUAAUUUAUGGUUUAAAAAAGAAUUUGGACUAUA
rnacentral:snRNA from 14 species